AAGUCGUAACAAGGUUUCCGUAGGUGAACCUGCGGAAGGAUCAUUAACACUUUUUCCAAAACUCCUUUUUCUGAUGGCCCAAAAAAGCCAAAAGAUUUAGGUUUUUUGACCCCAAUUUAUUGCGAACGAUGAUUUUCCAAAAUCAUUCUUCUCUUCUUUAUCCUCUUUUUUAUUUUUACCCCAAUUUUUUACAAAAUCCAAGCCUGAUAUUAAAAUCGUUUCUCUCAAAAAGAGAACACGACCGAAACCUAAUGGUUAAAACAACUCUUAGCAACGGAUAUCUUGGCUCUC
rnacentral:misc_RNA from 1 species